rnacentral:lncRNA from 10 species
ACUUUCCCGUUAGCUCAGCCCGGGUCAGCGGGCUGGCUCAACCUUCGGGUUCUGUCCGGGGAAGGGAACAGAACAUUCGGCCCCAGGCAGGAAAGACGUUGCACAGGCCCCUGAGAAGCGAGCCCUGGCCUGUCCCACUCCACUGCCUCUCUUUGUUUGUAGCUCACUUCUCUCCUCCCUCUGACCCUGAGGCUGCCCUCAUCCUGGAAGAUGAUGGGGCUGUCCCGAGGAAUAUAGGCUUAGAGCUGGGGGCAAAUUGAUGGACGAUCUAACAGUACCAAUGUGCUGGACCCACGCUCAAUCACUUAACUGAGCACUUACUCUGUGUCUGUUCCUAUGCUAAAUGAAAAGGUUGAAUUUCACUUACUCUAAAGAAACACCCAACUAUUUCCCAAAUACUCUGUUCUUUGAUGCCGCUCGGCCUUCACAUGGGUUGUUCUUGUUUCAAAUGCCUUUCCUGGUAAGUACUCAACCUUCAGCACCCAGCUCCUCUAUCACCUCCUCUCAAAAGCCUUCCCCAGCUCACCCAAGACAGUAAAACCACAGUCUUUCCUGGGACCCCCAACAUUUAGGCUUGCGCGUCUGUCUCGCACUGCGCCGUGGCACCUCCAAAGCCCAGGCUGGGCUCCAUUCUUCUCUUGAUCCUGGGGGUCCUUCUCCAUGCCCAGCACACAACAGGGGCACUGCAGAUGUUGGCUCCUCCCUUCCCAGUCCCUGGCCACUUCCUUUCCAUCUCUGUAUGCCCCUCGUCCCUUUGUCUGUGUAUCAUAUUUUUGUUUUCAUUCUAAGAACAAUGCUCAUCCUGUUAUAGUUAUUUGUUAAUGUAAGUGGAAUGACACAAAUGAAUCAAUGACAUUUGUCAUUGUCUGGCAGGACACCACACAGGAGGUGUUCAAUUAUUUGCCUAAUAGAAUCCAUGGUCACCUCCAGCAAGAAAUCAUCAGAAUAGGUAGAGAAGGAGAGGAUGAGGCCAGGACAAGGAGGAGAACAGAAGGUGCUGGAACUAACAUUUUCUGACCUAUGUGUGUCAGGCGUGUUUCAUUUAUUUCUCACCAUAAUCCUAUUAUGAUCACCCUUCUUAUGGAUGGAAAAUGAAGGCACAGAGAGGUGAG